CAUAACCUUGGUUACUGCUUAGUGAAGACUUGAGAAUUGUAAACAAAACAAAUGGGAAAACGGGUAUUUCUAAGGAAAAAUUAAAAUUCCUCGAGUGAAUAAUCUCUUUGUGCAGAAUGUCCAACUGAUCUAGAAAUUAUCGGAUAUACUAUCCUGCAAAAUCGUUUUGUUUUGAUUGGUCACUAUAAACAUCGUUCUCCCCCAGAUAGUUUAAUAAAUACAAUGUACAAUGUUACAAAUUAACGUUCGUGCACCGAGUCGUAUACGAACUUUGACUUCACCGGAUAUUUCAGCGAAGCGCUAUCGAUUAGGGUUGUGUUGCAGCAAGGUAAUGACGUCAUAAUUUUGAAAAAAAAAACAGCUGCACGAUUUUAAAUAAGCAACACUUUCAAACUCAUGGAAUGACCAUCGUUCAAACUCAUGGAAUGCCCAUCAGA